rnacentral:rRNA from 1 species
CCUACGGGGGGCAGCAGUGAGGAAUAUUGGUCAAUGGACGAGAGUCUGAACCAGCCAAGUAGCGUGAAGGAUGACUGCCCUAUGGGUUGUAAACUUCUUUUAUAAAGGAAUAAAACGAGGCACGUGUGCCUUUUUGCAUGUACUUUAUGAAUAAGGAUCGGCUAACUCCGUGCCAGCAGCCGCGGUAAUACGGAGGAUCCGAGCGUUAUCCGGAUUUAUUGGGUUUAAAGGGAGCGUAGAUGGGUUGUUAAGUCAGUUGUGAAAGUUUGCGGCUCAACCGUAAAAUUGCAAUUGAUACUGGCAGUCUUGAGUACAGUAGAGGUAGGCGGAAUUCGUGGUGUAGCGGUGAAAUGCUUAGAUAUCACGAAGAACCCCGAUUGCGAAGGCAGCUCACUAAACUGUGACUGACAUUGAGGCUCGAAAGUGUGGGUAUCAAACAGGAUUAGAUACCCGGGUAGUC